rnacentral:rRNA from 1 species
GAUGAACGCUAGCGGCAGGCCUAAUACAUGCAAGUCGAGGGAGAAUGUUGGAUUCGUCUGACAUGAAACCGGCGCACGGGUGCGUAACACGUAUGCAACCUACCUUUAACUGGGGUAUAGCUCAGAGAAAUCUGAAUUAAUCCCCCAUAAGACUACGACAUGGCAUCAUGAUGUAGUUAAAGCUCCGGCGGUGAAGGAUGGGCAUGUGGUACAUUAGCUAGUUGGUGAGGUAAUGGCUCACCAAGGCUACGAUGUAUAGGGGGUCUGAGAGGAUGAUCCCGCACACUGGUACUGAGACACGGACCAGACUCCUACGGGAGGCAGCAGUAGGAAAUAUUGGUCAAUGGACGCAAGUUUGAACCAGCCAUGCCGCGUGAAGGAUGAAGGCCCUAUGGGUCGUAAACUUCUUUUAUUAGGGAAGAAAAAACGGGAUGCGUCCUGUACUGACGGUACUUAAUGAAUAAGGAUCGGCUAACUUCGUGCCAGCCGCCGCCGUAA